AAUUUUGUAAUUUAAUAAAAAUACAAAUUUGCAAAAUUUGAGUUGCUAUCGCCAAAAUUU
rnacentral:tRNA from 1 species